rnacentral:rRNA from 1 species
UACGGAGGGUGCAAGCGUUAUCCGGAUUCACUGGGUUUAAAGGGUGCGUAGGUGGGCAGGUAAGUCAGUGGUGAAAUCCUGUAGCUUAACUACAGAACUGCCAUUGAUACUAUCUGUCUUGAAUACCCUGGAGGUGAGCGGAAUAUGUCAUGUAGCGGUGAAAUGCUUAGAUACGACAUAGAACACCCAUUGCGAAGGCAGCUCACUACGGGAAUAUUGACGCUGAGGCACGAAAGCGUGGGGAGCAAACAGG